GGAGUUGUGUCUCAGUGGUAGAGUGCUCACCUAGCCUGUGUGAGGCAUUGGGUUCAAUACUCAGCAAUACUU
rnacentral:tRNA from 1 species